rnacentral:tRNA from 1 species
UCCCUGAUGGCUCAGUGGUAAAGAAUCUGUCUGCAAUGCAGGAGACCUGGGUUCAAUCCCUGGGUUGGGAA